rnacentral:rRNA from 1 species
UGGGGAAUAUUGCACAAUGGGCGCAAGCCUGAUGCAGCCAUGCCGCGUGUAUGAAGAAGGCCUUCGGGUUGUAAAGUACUUUCAGCGGGGAGGAAGGUGUUGAGGCUAAUAACCUCAGCAAUUGACGUUACCCGCAGAAGAAGCACCGGCUAACUCCGUGCCAGCAGCCGCGGUAAUACGGAGGGUGCAAGCGUUAAUUGGAAUUACUGGGCGUAAAGCGCACGCAGGCGGUCUGUCAAGUCGGAUGUGAAAUCCCCGGGCUCAACCUGGGAACUGCAUUCGAAACUGGCAGGCUAGAGUCUUGUAGAGGGGGGUAGAAUUCCAGGUGUAGCGGUGAAAUGCGUAGAGAUCUGGAGGAAUACCGGUGGCGAAGGCGGCCCCCUGGACAAAGACUGACGCUCAGGUGCGAAAGCGUGGGGAGCAAACA